CCGUCCGCCAGGCGUGCCAGGGCGGCACCGCCGUGCAGGGACGCGGAGCGCAGCGAGCCGUCCUCGCCCAGCGCGGAGAAGCUCAGCGUCUGAUACGCACGGCGACGACGGCACAGAACAUCGCGCACACCGGCCUGCAAGCCGCCCUGCGCGUCCGUCAGCUGCCACAGGAACCAGGGCCCCCGCGGGGGGCUGCCCCCCAACGUGCGGAACGUGCAGACGAGCGAGUACGCGCGUGGGACGCCCCUCGGGCAUCUGCAGCAUGGCGCCGCGGUGCAGCCGGUAGGCCACCUGCAGUGGCGUGGACCCGGCCACGCGCUGGGGCGCACGGGGGCCCAGCCGGUACGCCCCCCGCAGGCCGGACAGCAGGUCGUACCCUGGGGGCCGAACGUCAAGCGGAGGUCAAGAGUUCAGGAGAAAAGUUUGGUUCCAUCGCGACAAUGCACGUCGUCGUUGCCGUGGUAACCCCUGGGACAAGCCUCCUCCUCCUCCACCUCCUCCUUGCCGUCAACGUUCUCUGAAGGAGUGAAUACCAGGGAGCCAUCGCAACACCCUGAUCGUCCCGAAAAUCUCGUCGUUCACAGUCGUGCCAAUGCACUCAUCAUUAGAUUUAGUCUGCGUGGCUGUACUCACGCGCGCUCGUGCAGGUGAAGAGCAUGAAGAGGAGGAGGAGGAGACACGUGAGCCUCCGUGCCACACCGAGAAACCCACACCUAGCAGCGCAGACACGUGACAAUAACAAACAUCCUCACUGGUAUCCGUAUUACCAGCGUCGUUCUCAUAUUAUAUUAGAAAAAGGUUUUGCUGGCUGGCUGGCUGGCUGACAGAACGUCGCAUCCGAAGGGAGGGAAGGGUACACGGUUAGUCAAAUACAAAGGACGUGUGGGCUGCCCGUUAUUAUAAUAGGCAGUUACCAUCAUCAGCAGCAGUAACUGUUACAGCAUAAAUUAUCAUCAGCGGCAGCCGCAACCGUGACUGCAUAAAUCAUAAUAAUCAGCAUUAGUUGCAACAGCAUCAGCAGCAACAGCAGCGUGCUCAGCACCAGCAUAAUCAUCAUUACCACCAUCAGCAGAACCAACAGAAGCGCCAGCAGCGAAACAAACAUCAUCAUCAUCACCAAGGCAGUCCCACUCCUCCUUAGAGCAGUCACUCCCUGAACCCACUUACGCAUUAAUUAGUUUGCCCUUUCCUUUACGCAGGAACCCCUCACUGCAUUUCACUCAAUACCGAGCUGAUUCUUCGACUGAAUGGUGGCCAGAAGAUUGGCGUAGAGAAGCGGAAUGAGUCCAUCUGUGCGGACAUUUAAGUGCAGUCCCCACGCCCCCUCUCGUGAGCGCGUGUUCUCCGGACGCUCUGAUUUCUUUUCACACAACGCCAAACUUUUGUUCAUGGACAUGGCCGAACAUCCCAGUACAGCAGGACCCUCCUGAAUAGGAAUCUUGAGACUCAAGUAAUGCUUCUCUGGAUAUUUAGAAGGAAAUUAUAAUCCUACCUUGUUAUUAUUUUCCUUCUGGUGAUUUUUUGCCCAAUUUAUAUUUUCCUCUUGUUUGUAAUGGUUGGUUACUACUUACUGCCAGCGGCGUAGCAAUCGAGAUUGUGCAGGAGGUGCAGCUGCACCAGGGUUCAUGGGCCGAAGGGGCCCAGGUGUCAGGCUACGAAGAGGGAUACAAAUUGGGCCCGUGUGGCCUCAUUUCGUUCCUUGCACCAGAGCCCAUGCCAAUCCGCGCUCCUGUAUAAUUGGACUUUGCGCUGUCUUGCUCCGCGUGGCCGCGUGGAUUUUUCUCCGGGCCCUCUGCUUUUUCCCUCCACUUUUCGAAUGAAUGUGCGUUUAGACUUUAGGGUAUUUGGCUGCAAUUAAUUUCCACAUAAGCCACUUCGGUGAGCUAUCAUUUGCGGCCAGGUCGCUUCUGAAAAAGAGCUGUAUAGCUCAGUGGGCCUUACCUGGUAAAAUUGUAAAAAAAUGUUGAAUACGACUCAUUGCUGCCAUGCAAAUGCAUUUUGGGCAGUCAAUGUAUGGAAGACCCAUGCUUAGCUUCGUUUACACCCACACAUCACACGUGACAUUCAUCAUGACCAUCUACGGAGAGUUUCUCAUCAAAAGAAGAUAAUUGCACCGUAGCAAUUUGGAAAAAAAGGCUUAUCUUGUAAAAUAAAUAGGCAUUUAUGUUGUUUUCAGUUCCUUUAACAUAUUUACGCAAUUCCGCCCUGGCAUUGGCCGAACUGUUCCACAAACAUUGCGAACACCCCCCCCCCCCCCCCAUUUCAACUUAUCGCUGUGUUACUGUAAUAAACAUUGCAAACACACGCAUGGAAUGUAUUGCUGUACGUAUUAGCAACACGCGUGUGCAUUAUAAAUGCUCCACAUGUGCACGUAUACGGCACGUGUGCCGCUCUUUUGUCAAUCCACUGCUGGAUGAAGCCCUCGCCACGCCGCCUGAGUCAUCAGUGCGGAUUGGUGAAGGUGGCCGGGAAGCGUAGAUGUGGGUGUAUAGAAGUACAGCAGAGCAAUUGAUUUUGCUCAACUGCCCUCAGAUGCCCGCUAUGUAGCCACGCAGCGGCCGAUGACAACUUGUCUGUGCGCGGCGUUCACCCCAUAGCAACGCUAUCCAGGCUCAGAUCUGGUCGUAGGCGAUGAUACAAAAGCCUACACAACAGAGUACACUUCCGGCAAAUGAGCCAAAUCAGUGUCUUGCUAACUGACAAUUAUGCGCUUGAUGCGAGUCUCAAAUUCAAACAAUUCCGAGUUAACCGACGUAGUAGUUAGUCCGCUUAAGUUGCCGAAUAACACUGUAAAGCCUAUAACCUCCACCCCAAUAAACGUUCAAACGUUGAACCAACGUUGGAAUUUGGCUCGGGAACCCUUGGCCCAACGUUGGCCGCCCCGACGUUCCAUGCGUAUUUACGGGGUCGUGCGGACGGGAAAAAAGUGACCCGUUUCGCGAAAAUAGUCGACAGGUGUGGUUCGUUAUCCUUCUGCGUCUACCUCCGAAGAUCAAAGCGUGACUUAAUAUGCAUGCACGAGACAAUAUUAACUACCGCUGUAAGUCUGAAGGAAGAAAACGCAGAUCAGGACUACUUAUAGACUGCAGUACACUGUGGCAAUCGUCUACAUGUGUAUACCGUACAGUUAAUAAAGUUAAGAGAUUUCCUCACUUCACCGAUUGGCUGCUUUGAUAACAUUAAUGGGGGGGGGGCGAGGGAUAUUUAAGACCUGAGUGUCUGAGCAAACAAUUGACAGCCAACAGCACUUGCCCCAAUAACCCAAAUAUACCGUUGUAAAUCUCUGAAGGGAAUGACUCAAUGAAAUCCACAAGGGCUUGACUAAAAUUCCACAUUCAACGAAUUACGUUGGUGCUACCGCUGCAACUGCGUUUGCAGCGGUGCACAAGCAAAAAUAACAUUAAUAAUAAUGAAAAACUGAACACAUUCAUCAAUAACACUGCCUUAGAUGCAAAAGUUGGUAAUGUAUUUCUUACGUCACACUGCAGGUGAAUGAGAAGUGCAGGAAGGUGUAGAAAAAAAUAUACCUUAUCCGGCGGUAAGCGAGCAUCUUGCGUGGGAAGCGGCCACACAGACCCCCGACGAUGGCACCCGGAGCCUGGGAUGAGAGAGAAA